AACCUUACACUUCCUGAAUUUUCUGAAACACAGACUCCAGCCCUUCAACGCCCUCCCGGCUGUCUACAAUAUUCUCAAAUCUCUGAGAGCUAGAGAUGAAACUAUCCUGUGAUGAAACUGAAGCUCAGGGAAGCUAAGACAUUGGAGAAGUGUACCACUUCCUUGUCUAGAGAGUCGACUGACAACCUGAAAAUUAACACCGGAGCGUGAAGGGAGAUGGCAGAGGAGCUCAGUGAGCUAUGGGGCUUCUCAUGAGUGGAGCUUUGUUGUAAAACCACUCACAAGGGAUCAGCAGCCGUCAAUUUCCCCAUUCUCCACCACCUUCUUAAGACUCUGAAAAUAACCGAUUAAUUGAUCAAGUCAACACAGUGAUCCAAUAAUUCAUUAAAGUGACGAAAACAAAUCUUUGGAAAAUCGAGCUGGUGACAGAUAGAAAGCCAGUGAUUUAUUGUCUGGAGAGGAAUAAGUGUCUCCCGUUCCAUUCCUCAGUCUGUUGAGUGAAUCGAAGUGUGCAGUAAGUACAAGGCUUUGUUUGACAGAUGCUGUUCCUUCAACCUGUAUCCUGAAAUGAGAAUUUAUGUGGAAUAGAGCUGAAGAUCUGUGACUCCAAGCAAAUAAAGAAAUGGUGAAAUAAAGCUAAG